AAUACACUCAACCCACACAGCACGGAAUGUCAUUAGAAUAUUGCAGAAAUAUUUCAAAUGUUUUUUACAGAAUAUCUUAUUUGAAAUAUUUCUGCAAACUUGCAAAGAUAUUACAAAUAGGAUAUUUUAUUUGAAAUAUUCUACAGACGUUCAAUUUAAAAUAUUGCAUUUGCAAUAUUCUCUCAAUAUUCUGGAGAUAUUUUGUUUUCAAUCUUUCCGAACGUUCUAUACAAAAUAAUCUAGCAACAUUCUAUUUGAAAUGUUUCAAAAUGUUGCGAAUUAAAUAUUUUAAAGACAUUCUAUUUUAAAUAUUACUUUCGCAAUAUUCUCUUAAUAUUCUGGAGACCUUUCGUUUUAAAUCUUUCCAAACGUUUCAUAUGAAAUAGUCUAGCAACAUUCUAUUUAAGAUAUUUACUUCUAAUGUGUGCGCAUGUGCGCCGCCAUGAUAAUCUGAUUUGUGCAACAAGCGGUAACAACGCGGCGCCUGCCAGCACAUGUCUCAUCUUGCACAGAUAGCUCGUGGUUACAGUAUAAGAAAGAAGUUUUUUCUUAUACUGUGUUGUCGUGUUUUGGCCCUCAUCUAUCCGUGUCUUACGUGUGCAAACGUGUUAAUUCCUUGAGGCAAAUUAAAUUGUAACGAGCUUGUGGAAAAUAUCUUAUAUAUAAUAGAUUGUGAAAAAAACGAGUGAGAAUAAAAGAAAUUUGCUGGAUUCACAUUUUGGACGUGUUCGUCUGUCGACAAUGACGACCUCAAAAUAUAAAAUUGUCUAGUUCGACGAGGGGAUAGAAAUGAUUCCAACGACAUGGCUUAAUUAUGACCAAACAAUAGCUUCUUGGCCUCUUUACCAAAAUCAAAUAAAAAUUAAUAAAGCUAUUUCCAAUAUGAAGACGCCAAAAGAAGAUUGGAAACAAUGAAAAAUUAAGAAGAUAUGCAGAUUCAUACGAACAAGCAGUUGAUAAAGUUGCAAUUUUCUAUGGAGCUUUUUGAUAUACGAGGUGUGUUCAAAAAGUAUCGCGAAUUUUGAAUUUUCGCGGGUUACGUAUAUUCGAAUUUCGAUCUUUUUGUGGCGUUAUGUUGGUACUCAUGUCUCUCACUUAUGCCGACAAG